rnacentral:tRNA from 1 species
GAUUUUGUAGCUCAAUGGUAGAGCAACGGCCUGUUAAGCCGAAGGUUGAAAGUUCGAAUCUUUCCAGAAUCG